CCUGGUUGAUCCUGCCAGUAGUCAUAUGCUUGUUUCAAGGACUAAGCCAUGCAAGUCUAAGUAUAAAUUUUUAUAUGGUAAAACUGCGAAUAGCUCAUUAUAACACUUAUUAAUUACACGGGACCUAAGUGAUUAUAUGGAUAUCCAUGGUAAUUCUGGAGCUAAUACAAAAAGAGAGCUUAAUUGUAAGCAUUCAGCCAUGAAACAUUCCUCGGUUUGGUUUUGGCCAUAUUAAAUGAAUCGCGUGGACUAUGAUGAUCGCUUUUUGCGACACACCGUAGUAGUUUGUGACCUAUCAGCUAUGUCGGUAAGGUAUCGGCUCACCGAGGCAGUCACGGGUAACGGGGAAUUAGGGUUUGAUUCCGGAGAGGGAGCCUGAGAAACGGCUACCACAUCUAAGGGUGGCAGCAGGCGCGCAAAUUACCCAAUACCGACAUGGUGAGGUAGUGACCAAAAAUAACAGCACGAUGCAUAUGCUUCGUGACUGUAAUGAGUAAAAAUCACAGAAGUUUUCAAGCAUCAAUUGGAGGGCAAGUCUGGUGCCAGCAGCCGCGGUAAUUCCAGCUCCAAUAGCGUAUAUUAAAUUUGCUGCAGUUAAAGCGUUCGUAGUUGACCCCCAACAGGAAGCAGACGCUAAAGCAAACUUUGUUCUGGCAGCUUGCAGACUGCAGUGUGGUUCGCUACACUGGAUUACUUUGAGAAAAUGGAAGUGCUCCAAACAGGCUUCUGUCUGUACCGCUCAGCAUGGAAUGAUGUGACAUAACGCGAAACUGACCUACCGAGAGCCAGUCUAGAUGUGAUGGAUAAUAAGGGCAUUUGGGGGCAUUUGAACUUGCUGGAGAGAGGUGAAAUUCUAAGACCCAGUAAAGACAAACUGACGCGAAAGCUUUUGCCCAAUGUGUACCUGCUAAUCAAGGACGAAAGUUGGGGGAUCGAAGACGAUUAGAUACCGUCGUAGUCCCAACCGUAAACGAUGCCGACAUGAUUUUGGUAGAGAACAUUUACGUCUCUUUCAGAGUUAUCAGAGAAAUCAAAGUCUUUGGGCCCUGGGGGGAGUAUGGUCGCAAGGCUGAAACUUAAAGGAAUUGACGGAAGGGCACCACCAGGAGUGGAGCCUGCGGCUUAAUUCGACUCAACGCGGGAAAUCUCACCAGGCCCGGACAUCGGUAUGAUUGACUGAUGAGAAGACUAUUCUUGAUUCUAUGGGUGGUGGUGCAUGGCCGUUCUUAGUCGGUGAGGUAGCUUGUCUGGUUAAUUCCGAUAACGGACGAGAUCUCGACCUACUUAAUAAACUGCUGGUCUUAUUCCUAGUAUGUUUCCUUAGUGGGACUUUGGAUAUUUAAUCCGAGGAAGUUCGAGCCUAUAACAGGUCUGUGAUGCCCUUAGAUGGCCUGGGCUGCACGUGCGCUACAUUGACUAAAGCAACAAGACCCCUUGAUUGCAAAAAUCUGGGAAACCUGCAAAAUUUUGUCGUACUUGGAAUCGGUGUUUGCAAUUAUGCGCCGUGAACGAGGAAUUCCUAGUAAGUGCAAUUCAUUACAUUGUACUGAUUGCGUCCCUGCCCUUUGUACACACCGCCCGUCGCUUCAACCGAUUGGAUGAUUCGGCAAAUUUUGUGGAUGGUAGCAAUUUCGCUGCUGGAAGCAAUGUGAGCCACAUCAUUUAGAGGAUGAAGAAGUCGUAACACGGUAUCCGUAGGUGAACCUGCGGAUG
rnacentral:rRNA from 1 species